GGUUUUAAAUUUGAAUAUCUACACUUGUUUAUUUGUUUAUAUACUUUUUUGUAAAUAUUAAUUGGUCCUCUGUCAAUUCAUUUCUCUUUUUGAAUGUCUGAAAGAUACAUUGACCAUGCAUCAUCAUCUUUAAAAGUGUGAGAACAUAACAUGGAAAUUGGAUUGUUCCUUAGAAAUGACUAUAUCCAAUGAGGGGACCUUAACAUGAUAGAAGCAGCGGAAGCUGAAGCAGUUAUGAGAGUUCUCCUAGUUGGAAAUUUAUAUUAAUUUUUCGAAUCAUGCUUCUUUCUUGUCUGAACUUGGUAGCUUACGCUCAUUAGAUUUUGUAUUGUAUGCCUCUAAUAAUAUGUGUAGUGUCAUCCUUGUGCUAGGGUUUCUUUGCAUUCUCAUUAUAAUGUAGUUGAAAUUCCUUGCUUAGCUUCUGGUCGCUAGGAUUUGUUUUUGGCUAAUCAAGGGAUCAUGAGUUGUUUAAUUAGGAAUAUGGGUGGCACUUCUUUAACCAUGCCAUGGGUCCUGUUGUGUUUAUUAUGUUAAUGAUGGCCCGGGUACCGGGAUAGUCUCAAAGAAGGUGGGCUUCCUUUGCAUACUAUUUGUCUUGGGGGAUUCCAAGGUUAAAUAAAUAACAAGGGAAAGAAGAUGACCAACAAGAUGUUUGGUAUUUGAGGCGAUGGGUGUCUCCAUGAGGGGAAUUUGAAUAUCUCAUACUUAUUUAUUGUGCUGAAUAAUGGGUUAGAUAGGCUGUGUUUUUUGAAAUGCUGAAUGUUUGCUUCAGAGUUGUUCGAGGGGGGGUUACCUUAUGAUGCUUACAUAAGGGCCUUUUCAUGGAUUGAAUUAUUCAGAAGUUAAAUGGACAAAGGGUCAAUUUGCCCCUUGAACUUAUGUCCAAGGGUCAAAUUUAUCCAAUUUAAACUUUUUCAGCAAAUAGCCCCCUGAACUUAAGUCCAAGGAUCAAAUACACCAAUCUAAACUUUUUCAGCAAAUAGUCCCAUGAACUUGUGUCCAAGGGUUAAAUAUAUCCAAUUCAAUUCUUUUUAAAAUUUAGGUUUUAAUUAAAUUAUAAAAAUUAAAAAUAAUAUUUAUUUUAUUUAUUUACUGGUAUAAUAUCUGGUGAUGUGCUAUACAAGAGUGUAUUUGAAAUAUUUUAGAUUUUGGAUUUAAUUUACCCAAAAUGACAAGUAUUAAAUAAGUCAAAUUUCAAUUUUCUAAGGAUUAAAUAUGUCAAAAUUCAAUUUUCUAAGAAUUAAAUACGUUCAAUUUCAACUUUCUUAAUAAAUGGCCCCAUAACUCAUCAUUUUUGGGUCAAUUAAAUUUGAAUUUUAAAUUUUGUCAAACACACUCUUGUGUAGUGCGUUAUUAUAUAGUGUAUUAGCAAAUGAAUGAAAUAAAUAUUAUUUUUAAUUUUUAUAAUUCAAUUAAAACAUAAAAAUCUAAUAUUAUUUUGCUUUUAAAAAAAAAUUAAAUUGUGUGUAUUUGACUCUUGAACACAAGUUCAGGGGGCUAUUUGGUACAAAAGUUUAAAUUGGAUAUAUUUGACCCUUAGACAUAACUUCAAGAGGCUAUUUGCUAAAAAAGUUUAAAUUGGGUCUGUUUGACCAUUGGACAUAAGUUUUGGAGGCAAAUUGACCCUUUGUCCGAAGAUAAAUAGGCCUCCAACAGUUCUUGGUGGGAAUAUUGAUAUGGUUAUUUUUCUGCAAAUCCAGGUGAAGGAAUAUGGUAGAGAGUAUUAUAUGAGAUAAUUGUUCAAGUUUUCAAUUGUUAGUGUAUGUUUCUCCAUUUGAAGGUUAUUGUUGCGUGCUUUUAGUGUUUCGAGAGAAUUCUACCAUAUGAAGGUUUGACUAUUCUUAAAGGUUGGCUGUGGAAAGGACUGCAUCAAUGAUCUUCUUGUUUCCUUGGUAUAUAUGGUCUUCAUUAGAACUGGUGCUUCUCUUGAUAACUUGUGUUGUGGCUUAAGAUGGACAUCUAGUGAACUUGUGAAGGGAUGGUGACAACUUCUGUUGUGGCGAAGGUGGAGAACUGAUGAACUUGUGAAGGGAUGGUGAGAUGGCAGUAGAGUGGGGAUUCUGCUGUUUUUGAAGUUGCUGUCAAAUUGAAGCUGUCCAAGAAGGAGCUUGAAAGCAUCAUUGCUGGCAGAAAUCUUGGGGCCUCCUUAACAGAAAAAUCUGAAAUUACAGUGCAAAUAGCAGUGGAUUGCUUUGGAGAGGCCUAGGAGGGACAAUUUUUUUAAUUGUUCAGCAUUCUAUCUUGCGUUGGUUAGUGAAAAGAUAUGGAGUCGAUCAGGUGAUCUUACAUUCUUAAAGAUGUAAGCCUGUUUCGCUACGGUGGCGAAUUAUCUUAAAGAUGUUACUUCUACUGUAGAUUUUGGACUUAUCAUCUCUCUCUCUCUCUCUCUCUCCACAUAUAUAUAUGUGUGUGUGUGUAUGUUUUUUUUUUGUUUCAUUCCCUUUUUCCAUGUAGUGUUUGUCUAUUAUUCCUCAUCCGCAAUAAUGGAGGAAAUGAUAAAAGCAACAAGAUAUAAUGUUUGUAUUUGCUCCUUUUUCAUUUACAUGAAUAAACCUAGUCCACUUUUUGUA